GGAAGGGAGGUGGAGGUUUCAGUGAGCUGAGAUUGCACCACUGCAUUCCAGCCUGGGUGACAGAGCAAGACUCCAUCUCAAAAAAACAAAAACAAAAACAAAAACAAAAACAAAAACAGCCCCCCUUUCAGAUGUUGACAUUUAAUGAAAACUUUUUAAGGCAUUAUGUGGAAAAAAGGUAGCAGAAAGAAAAAGAAAUAACCUGAAGGUUUCAUUAGACCUUGUGACGUGGCAAGAACUUCCAGCUCCCUUGGAUCCAUGGGAGCUGCCUCUCUAGUGUCUGUCUGUCCUUGCUUCCAAUUGUACCACGCUGAGACACAGUCAGCUGUUAGUCGGGAUGGAUGGGAGGACGGGGGGAAUGUCAGAGAAAAGAUUUUAAACCAAAAUAUGUAUUUGAUUUAACAAACACUUAAGUACUGGUUACCAUGUGCCAGCCCUGCUCUAAGCACAAAUAUCAACUCCCUUCAUCCUCAUAAUAGUUUCACUGGGGAUACUAUUAUUGAUCCCUUAUUACAGAUGAGGAAACUGAAGCCAGAGAGGUGUCAUAGCUUGCCCAAGGUCAUGUAGUUAGUAACGGAUGCAGCCAGGAUUCACACCCUAAGAAGUCUGGCUCUGGGGUCUGUGCUGUAAACUGCCACUCCAGCUGCCUUGGAAAACAAAGCAGAAGAAGCAAUCUUUGCUUUCUAUGUAAUAUAGCGUCGUCCUCAGAACAGAGAAGUUGAGAAAAGAGAAUGAAAAUCAGCCAGACUGAACUGACUCUGAAGGUCGUUAAAGCGUCUGGAAAAUCUUGGUAAGAACCCAGCCUUCUCUGUACUCAUUAUAUAAAGUGCCCCUGGAUUCCGUGAAGGCCCCCUCAAUUCUCAUGUGUUCUGGAUUGUGGCUCAAUUAUUGCAGAGAGGGAUGGCUCUCAACCUGAAAAACAAAGAGAAACGAGGUGAAGUAUUAGUGUCUCUAAAGAUAAUUAGACCCAGAGAGAUAAGUUUAAAGUCUACCUUUAAAAAAAAGCAGACAAAGCUGAAUGCAUUUCCAGUCAUCAAAAGUGUUCUUCAUAAUCUAAGCAUCGGAGCAGAGGAGAGAGCAGGAGAGAAAGGAGCACGCAUAUUUACGCUUCAUCAAGAAAGCUGCAAGCUCAGGAACUUCUGCAUGGUGGAAAGGAUCAGCCACUUCUCUCUGCUCUCUUGGGUGUGGAUGGCAUGUCAAAAUUGCUGAAACUCAUUGUUCAAUUCCCACCUAUGAGUGAGAAUAUGCGGUGUUUGGUUUUUUGUUCUUGCGAUAGUUUACUGAGAAUGAUGAUUUCCAAUUUCAUCCAUGUCCCUACAAAGGACAUGAACUCAUCAUUUAUAUCACACUCUGGGGACUGUGGUGGGGUGGGGGGAGGGGGGAGGGAUAGCAUUGGGAGAUAUACCUAAUGCUAGAUGACGAGUUAGUGGGUGCAGCGCACCAGCAUGGCACAUGUAUACAUAUGUAACUAACCUGCACAAUGUGCACAUGUACCCUAAAACUUAAAGUAUAAUAAAAAAAAAAAAAGGAAAAAAAAGAAACUUAAAAAAAAAAAAUUGCUGAAACUCAGCUGGAUAUGGUGGCUCACACCUGUCAUCCCAGAACUUAGGAAGGCUGAAGUGGGCAGAUUACCUGUAGUCAGGAGUUCGAGACCAGCCUGGCCAACGGGUGAAACCCUGUCUCUACUAAAAAUACAAAAACUAGCCAGGCAUGGUGGCAUGUGUCUGUAAUCCCAGCUACUCAGGAGACUGAGGGAUGAGAAUUGCUUGAACCCAGGAGGUAGAGGCUGCAGUGAGCCAAGAUUGCAACACUGUACUCCUGCCUGGGAGACAGAGCGAGACCCUGUCUCAAAAAGAAAAAAAAAAGAAAAAAGAAAAAAAUUGCUGAAACUCUACUAGCAGAGUCGGAGAUGCUCUGGACCCUGCUAGCCCGGUAGAUGGUAUGAAAUAGAGAGACAGGGGAGACAGCCCUGGGUUUUCCAAGUGCAGAUGAAGUUUCUGUAGGGGCAUAGGCAAAGUAGCAAGGGUCUCUGAAAAUGGGGAGCCUCCACGUGUGCGAAGCUUGUCAUGGGGUCUGAGAUCAUUGAGUUCCUGAUCCUGUGUUGAAGUUUUGUUGGUGGAAAUGAGGGUGAAGCCAACCAGCUAAUGGAAAAGCCUGGUGAAAGGAAUGUGUGGGAAGUUCGCUGACCUGGGUUUCAGCUGCAUCUCUGACUUUAUCUAAGUUGUCAAAAAGACCACCAGGAUGGCUACAUCGUAGAAAGGAGAGCUUUAUUGGUGAUAUCAGUUUGCAAGCUGGGAAGAGAGGGUUUUCAGCAUGGACCGAAGGUGCUCUCUCUUUGAAGAGGGGAAGGAGAGGUUGGGUUUUAUGCCUCACUGGGCCUGUAUCAUACAUAUUCAGCAGAUGGGGUGAAAGCUAUGCCUAUUUGUGAGGGAGCCGUGCACAGGUGUAAUUCGUAAACAUCUAUGCAACAUACAUCCCAUGCUCUCUUUGGGGUUGAGUUUUAGAAUUAAAAUGAGAUGCAAUUUGGCUCUUUACGUCAAAAGGCGAACUAUAGGGCACAGAGACAACUUAUGCAUAGCCUGUAUAAGUUGCUGAAACUGGCUUGACAUCUGCAAUAUCUUAUCAGAGAAGAAUGUUUGUAAGUCUCAUCCUCUGUCCAAUCAGAGUUGUAGUGGUCUGGGUUGUAAGUGGGGUUGACAGCUCAUAUUGUUAGUGAGUUCAGCCAUAGGAACUUAGAUAUUUGCCAUGCCAGCCCGGCCCUGAACCUGUGAUAGUGGGUAACUUGGUUUCUUUAACCGUAGGGUGUCAGUUGAUAAAUGAGCAUCUAUUUUGUUCUCUCUAAUCACAUCUACAAUGGAGUGGGAACUCUAGAACAUGAGCUGUAAACACAGAAGUCCUGGAGCAGCCAGAGAAGGCCCAGGAAAGUCCAUGGAGAAGCCCACACUUCUGCUUCCCAGAGCUGAGCUGAAGGAGGAAUGCAGAGUAGUAUAUACUCAGCUGCUCCAGCAUGUGAGUACACAGCAUAACUAGCAUGUGUACUGUCCCUUUUCUGUCCUGCCCUCAUAGAAGACACAACUAAUCAAUCAAAAUGGGCUUUUCUGCAAGCCUGGAUGUGACAGCCACCACCAAUAAAUGAACCUGACAUGAUGCCCUUCCUAAGCCCUCACCCAUCUCCUCUUCCCAACUUGCACUACAUCGAGGGAAGCAGUGUAACACGUUAGUUAAGGUUCUCAUGUCAGGCCACUGGGGUUUGAAUCAGUUCCACUGCCUACUCUGUGAUUUUUGUCUUGUCACUUAUCCACACCAAGCCUCAUUUUCCUCUCUUGUGAAAUGGGGGCAACAGCAGUAUCUCCCCCUACUGGUAGAACAUUUAUUCCUGUGGUGGUAUCAUCAAACUGAUCUCCUCCGUUAGACCAGGAGCUCCAUGAGGCCAAGGGCUUUGUCUGCCUUGCUUACCUUUAUCUCCCUGGAGCCCAGCACCUGGCCUGGCACUCAGUGGAUGCCCAACAUGUUAUUUAUUGACUAAAUGAGAGAACAUAAAUGAAAGUUCUAUGCUCUAGAAAUGUUGUUCUGGCCAUAUGGAAGGGAGAGAGAUGGACCACAGUGGUGGCCAGGAGACCAGAGAGGAGGCCAACUCCAGAAACCAACUGAAAAGUCAAAGUGACCUUGUAAGAUGGUGACAGUGGGAUGGGGAGAAGCAAAUGAUAUUGAGAGCCAGGAGGGAAGCUUUGUCUUAGUAGAUUACUGGCAAGUAAUUCAUUCUUUUUUUUUUUUUUUUUUUUUUUGCACUGACAGCUGCCAUCUUGCUUAAUAGAACUUCUAAAAGGAGAAGAAGAAGAAAAGUAAAACAUAAACUAUUUUGCAGACUGGGAUGGGGGAAGGCUUAUAGUCUCCAUGCUCAUCAGAAGUGGGCACAAUCCAUCUACCAAACCCCUCUCCUCUGGUCCCCCAACAAAAGGCCGUUCCUUACCACCCUUUAAAAUCAGCACCUUGCUCUGCCAACUCGCAGCUCAAAAUGCCCAGUCGGAGUGUCUUAUGAGCGCAGUGAAUUAACUGCCGAGUCGAGAAGAACAGGCUUAUUGAAGUCGUCAAAGCUGAAAGCCUGUUUGAACCGUGAUGUGUCCUUGCCGAGCAUUUUAUGAAUAUGCAGAAUCAAAUAGGAGCUAGUAGAAGCCAGAGGGAGCAGGCAGAAAGGAUCUCUUUAAAAUCCCAGCCAAGGCAGGCACACAUUUCAACUCAUUAAAACACACAACAGACUGUUACAGACACUUUCAAAAAGAGCUUUCUACUGAGUAAUAUCCUAGAGGAUGUAUUUUUUUUUUUUUGUAGAAAGUUUCCCGGGGCAAUACCAAAUGUCCUAAGGCAGGUGUUUGUCUCAAAGGUCUAGACAGAAGUGAAGGGCAGCCUUUCUGUCGGUGACAAAUCAGAUCCAUGAUCUGGGCUUUCAAAAGACACUUCCCUCCGUUCCCCAGUUAUCCGUCUAAUCUCCCAGAUUCAUUUACACUUUUCAGUUUGAUGGUCUUCACUUGACAGCAUGGUCCAUAUGCUUGCCGCGUGUGAUGGAAAUGGUUCUGCUUGAACUCCCUUAGUUUUAAUUUUCUAAUUUUAGGGUUGGCUCUGGGUUUUUUCACCACUGGCAAAAAGUGAAGGACUCCCUCUCCUUUCUCACACACACCUUAGUGGAAUGGUCACGCUCCCUCCCUGAGAACUGAAGUUCCUUCCUAGAGUCACCUUGAAGAUUUCUCAGUAAAAAUCUAUCACUGUGCAGAUCCUUCUUACCACUUACUUAGGUGGGAGACUCCUCCCUGAAGCUCCUUCUCACAUGAGGUGGCAUCGGAUGCUGUCAUAUUCUUUUUCUUUUUUUUUUUGAGACGGAGUCUCACUCUGUCACCCAGGCUGGAGUGUAGUGGCGCGAUCUCGGCUCACUGCAAGCUCCGCCUCCUGGGUUCAUGCCAUUCU
rnacentral:tRNA from 10 species